rnacentral:lncRNA from 10 species
CUUUUAUCAUCUUGUUUAAAUUGACAUGUAAGUAUUUAUUUUGUUCCUAUUGUAAAUGGAAUUGUUUUCUUAAUUUCCCCUUUGGAUAGUUUGUAUUUAUUAUACAGAAUGCUACUGAUUUUUGUAGGUUGAUUUUGUAUCCUGUAAGUUUGCUGAAUUUAUCAGUUUUAAUAGUUGUGUGUGUGUGUGUGUGUGUGUGUGUAUACAAUAAAUGAUUGUUAACCAUAGUAACCCUACUGUGCUGUUGAACACUACAACUUUUUCCUUCUAUCUAACUGUGUAUUUGUACCCAUUAACCAACCUCUCUGUGUUCUUCCUUUUCCCUACACCCAAAUGAGAAUAUGUUGUCUCCAAAAUCCAAAAGGCCCAGUAGGUACUGUGCCUCUUUCUUGAUUGAGGGAAAAGCCCGAUGGAACAACAUAUUUUUCACCUUGAAAGGGAUGUCAUGAAACAGCUUAAAGAAUUAGAUGCCAGGAGACCCAUAUGACAAGAAAUGCAAAAGGAUAUUCUUUAGGUAGAAUAAAAUCU